GAAAUAGCUCAGCUGGUAGAGCAUGAGACUCUUAGUUUCAGGGUCAUAAGUCUGAGCCCCAUGUUAGGCA